AUACGUAGGGGGCGAGCGUUGUCCGGAAUGAUUGGGCGUAAAGGGCGCGUAGGCGGCUUUGCAAGUCAGUAGUGGAAGUCCAUUUUUCAAGGAUGGAAGUGCUACAGAAACUGCGGAGCUUGAGUGCAGGAGAGGUUAUCGGAAUUCCCGGUGUAGCGGUGAAAUGCAUAGAGAUCGGGAGGAACACCAGUGGCGAAGGCGGGUAACUGGACUUCAACUGACUCUGAGGCGCGAAAGUGUGGGGAGCAAACAGGAUUAGAUGCCCUGGUAGUCCACACUGUAAACGAUGAAUGCUAGGUGUAGGAGGUAUAGACCCCUGCUGUGCCGCAGUAAACACAGUAAGCAUUCCGCCUGGGGAGUACGGUCGCAAGAUUAAAACUCAAAUGAAUUGACGGGG
rnacentral:rRNA from 1 species